rnacentral:rRNA from 1 species
UUUAUGGAGAGUUUGAUCCUGGCUCAGGAUGAACGCUGGCGGCGUGCCUAAUACAUGCAAGUCGAGCGAACGGACGAGAAGCUUGCUUCUCUGAUGUUAGCGGCGGACGGGUGAGUAACACGUGGAUAAACUACCUAUAAGACUGGGAUAACUUCGGGAAACCGGAGCUAAUACCGGAUAAUAUUUUGAACCGCAUGGUUCAAAAGUG